rnacentral:tRNA from 1 species
AGUCUUAUAGUCAAGUAUGAUAUAAAAUUGCAAAUUUUAAGGAAAAUUAUUUAUUUUAAGGCUU